UACGGGGGGAGCAAGCGUUGUUCGGAUUUACUGGGCGUAAAGGGCGCGUAGGCGGCGUAACAAGUCACUUGUGAAAUCUCCGGGCUUAACCCGGAGCGGCCAAGUGAUACUGUUGUGCUAGAGUGCGGAAGGGGCUACUGGAAUUCUCGGUGUAGCGGUGAAAUGCGCAGAUAUCAGGAGGAACACCAAUUGCGAAGGCAGCUCGCUGGGACGUAACUGACGCUGAGACGCGAAAGCGUGGGGAGCAAACAGG
rnacentral:rRNA from 1 species